UGGUCUUCAUGGUUACCCUUACAAAAACACUGACUUUGGUUCUCAAUACAGUAAGUGCUUUUUGUUGGGGUAGUUUU
ensembl:miRNA